AACGAACGCUGGCGGCAGGCUUAACACAUGCAAGUCGAACGCAUCCUUCGGGGUGAGUGGCAGACGGGUGAGUAACGCGUGGGAACGUGCCCUUCAGUUCGGGAUAACCCAGGGAAACUUGGGCUAAUACCGGAUACGUGCGAGAGCAGAAAGAUUUAUCGCUGAAGGAUCGGCCCGCGUCCGAUUAGCUAGUUGGUGGGGUAAUGGCCCACCAAGGCGACGCUCAGUAGCUGGUCUGAGAGGAUGAUCAGCCACAUUGGGACUGAGACACGGCCCAAACUCCUACGGGAGGCAGCAGUGGGGAGUAUUGGACAAUGGGCGCAAGCCUGAUCCAGCCAUGCCGCGUGAGUGAUGAAGGCCUUAGGGUUGUAAAGCUCUUUCGUCCGGGACGAUAAUGACGGUACCGGAAGAAGAAGCCCCGGCUAACUUCGUGCCAGCCGCCGCGGUAA
rnacentral:rRNA from 1 species